UGUAAAAUCCUUUCAGCGGGGAAGAUAAUGACGGUACCCGCAGAAGAAGCCCCGGCUAACUCCGUGCCAGCAGCCGCGGUAAUACGGAGGGGGCUAGCGUUGUUCGGAAUUACUGGGCGUAAAGCGCGCGUAAGGCGGAUCAGCCAAUCAGAGGGUGAAAGCCCAGGGGCUCAACCCUGGGACUGGCCUUCGAUACUGUUUGAUCUGGAGUUCGGUUAGAGUUGUGUGGAAUUCACGACUCUAGAGUUGAAAUUCGUAGAAUAUUUCGGAGGGAACACCAGAGGCGAAAGGCGACACAACUGGACCGAUACUUGACGCUGAGGUUGCGAAAGCAUGGGGAGCAAACAGGAUUAGAUACCCUGGUUGUCCACGCCGUAAACGAUGGAUGCAUACUUUUCGGGCAGCAUGCUGUUUCAAGUGACGCAGCUUACGCAUUAAGCAUCCCGCCUGGGGAGUACGGCCGCAAGGUUAUAACUCAAAGGAAAUUGACGGGGGCCCGCAACAAACGGUGGAGCAUAUGGUUUUAAUUCGAAGCAAACGCGAAGAACCUUACCUGCCCUUGACAUCCCGGUCGCGCUUUCCGGAGACGGAUUGCUUCAGUUCGGCUGGACCGGUGACAGGUGCUGCAUGACUGUCGUCAGCUCGUGUCGUGAGAUGUUGGGUUAAGUCACGCAACGAGCGCAACCCUCGCCGUUAGUUGCCAAGCAGGUUUGGCUGGGCACUCUAACGGGACUGCCGGUGUCAAACCGGAGGAAGGUGGGGAUGACAUCAAGUCAUCAUGGCCCUUACGGGCAGGGUAACACUAAAUGAGACAAUGACGGUGACAGUGAGUUAAUCUCCAAAAACCGUCUCAGUUCGAAUUGGGGUCUGCAACUCGACCCCAUGAAGUCGGAAUCGCUAGUAAUCGUGGAUCAGCAUGCCACGGUGAAUACGUUCCCGGGCCUUGUACACACCGCCUGUCACACCAUGGGAGUUGGUUCUACCCGACGACGGUGCGCUAACCUUUUCGG
rnacentral:rRNA from 1 species